GGUGCCUUAGCUCAGUAGGUAGAGCAAAGGACUGAAAAUCCUUGUGUCGCUGGUUCGAUCCCAGCAGGCACCAC
rnacentral:tRNA from 1 species